AUCUUCUCAAAUCUCAACAUUAUUCAGGUCGUCAAAAUUUCAAAAACACAAAUAAAGAAAACAAUCUACAAGAGUAAAGACAGUUGAAAGCCUCUCUAAUGUCAUACAAUCCGACUAACAUUUCUGUAACUAAAUAAAGUUUAUGCAAAGUGGAGAAGACGAUCGGAGGGGGAAAAAAGGGUGGGUAGGUGGGUGGGGGGAGUGGGGAGGGGAGGCUAUGAAUUCUGUUAAGUUUGACAAAUAUGUCUGCCUCCUAAAUUUUCCGUGAGGUUUAGGGGUGUUCUCAUCUAGAAUGGUGUGUUCGCAUUGCUUGAAGGCGAGGCCAUCACAGAAAGGAUUUCUGUGACAGAAGACAUGGCACUCAGAGCAGCUUUCAGGACAUCUUGUGAGCAUCCAGGCUUCACGAUUGUACGAACCUUGUCCAGAUACUCUUGCAAUUUCUUGAUACGACCCAUGUAAUCCUGGUCUUCAACGCAAAGAGUAAUAGCCUUUGCGUCAGCACCAGGGCCAUCAAACUGGAGGGGGCCUGGGUUUCUGUAAACAUCAUCGAGCAAGAACUUCGUCGCAUUUUGACUCAAUAAUUCGUAUGAUUUGCCCUUCAAAUCUACAGUGGCUGGAUGCACAGCAGGCUUCCCAAGUGAUGCCUUGCCAGGACCACGACCAUACCGCUUCACACUCAUCAUAGCAGUUAUAGGAGCAGCCCCACAGCGCCACUUGUUGACGGGAUUCUUCAAGUUAGUCAAUGUAGCCAUGUAACCAUUGAGGCCAGCAGCCAAAAUAUGAUAGCAGACGUGACCAAGUACAUAUGCAUAGUCACAAUCAAACUUUGAUGGCAAUGAUCCCCGAGCUUGAUAACCAAAGAAAUGGCAAAUUGCAUUAAAUUUCUUUCCCUUGUAAGUUCCUUCUUUCAAUCGCUUAUUCAUUUCUGUUUCCACCAGAUGAGCUAGAAGUUUCUCGGUUUCAAUCUGUGAUAGCUGAGCAGAAUCAUCUGAUUCUGGGUGUAAGAGGAGCUGUUUUUUUAUAAAGGGCGGCAAGAACUCAAAGAGCGCAGAUGAUUCUGCUCAGCUAACACAGCUAA
rnacentral:misc_RNA from 1 species